rnacentral:rRNA from 1 species
UGGAUGAACGCUAGCUACAGGCUUAACACAUGCAAGUCGAGGGGCAGCAUGGUCUUAGCUUGCUAAGGCCGAUGGCGACCGGCGCACGGGUGAGUAACACGUAUCCAACCUGCCGUCUACUCUUGGACAGCCUUCUGAAAGGAAGAUUAAUACAAGAUGGCAUCAUGAGUCCACAUGUUCACAUGAUUAAAGGUAUUCCGGUAGACGAUGGGGAUGCGUUCCAUUAGAUAGUAGGGGGGGUAACGGCCCACCUAGUCUUCGAUGGAUAGGGGUUCUGAGAGGAAGGUCCCCCACAUUGGAACUGAGACACGGUCCAAACUCCUACGGGAGGCAGCAGUGAGGAAUAUUGGUCAAUGGGCGAGAGCCUGAACCAGCCAAGUAGCGUGAAGGAUGACUGCCCUAUGGGUUGUAAACUUCUUUUAUAAAGGAAUAAAGUCGGGUAUGCAUACCCGUUUGCAUGUACUUUAUGAAUAAGGAUCGGCUAACUCCGUGCCAGCAGCCGCGGUAAUACGGAGGAUCCGAGCGUUAUCCGGAUUUAUUGGGUUUAAAGGGAGCGUAGAUGGAUGUUUAAGUCAGUUGUGAAAGUUUGCGGCUCAACCGUAAAAUUGCAGUUGAUACUGGAUAUCUUGAGUGCAGUUGAGGCAGGCGGAAUUCGUGGUGUAGCGGUGAAAUGCUUAGAUAUCACGAAGAACUCCGAUUGCGAAGGCAGCCUGCUAAGCUGCAACUGACAUUGAGGCUCGAAAGUGUGGGUAUCAAACAGGAUUAGAUACCCUGGUAGUCCACACGGUAAACGAUGAAUACUCGCUGUUUGCGAUAUACGGCAAGCGGCCAAGCGAAAGCGUUAAGUAUUCCACCUGGGGAGUACGCCGGCAACGGUGAAACUCAAAGGAAUUGACGGGGGCCCGCACAAGCGGAGGAACAUGUGGUUUAAUUCGAUGAUACGCGAGGAACCUUACCCGGGCUUAAAUUGCAGAUGAAUUACGGUGAAAGCCGUAAGCCGCAAGGCAUCUGUGAAGGUGCUGCAUGGUUGUCGUCAGCUCGUGCCGUGAGGUGUCGGCUUAAGUGCCAUAACGAGCGCAACCCUUGUUGUCAGUUACUAACAGGUUCCGCUGAGGACUCUGACAAGACUGCCAUCGUAAGAUGUGAGGAAGGUGGGGAUGACGUCAAAUCAGCACGGCCCUUACGGCCGGGGCUACACACGUGUUACAAUGGGGGGUACAGAGGGCCGCUACCACGCGAGUGGAUGCCAAUCCCCAAAACCUCUCUCAGUUCGGACUGGAGUCUGCAACCCGACUCCACGAAGCUGGAUUCGCUAGUAAUCGCGCAUCAGCCACGGCGCGGUGAAUACGUUCCCGGGCCUUGUACACACCGCCCGUCAAGCCAUGGGAGCCGGGGGUACCUGAAGUGCGUAACCGCGAGGAGCGCCCUAGGGUAAAAC